GGACUGCACCCAUGGCAUAUGGAAGUUCCCAAGCUAGGAGUCGAAUCAGAGCUGUAGCUACCAGCCUACAUCACAUCUGCAGCAAUGCUGGAUCCUUAACCCAUUGAGCAAGGCCAAGGGAUUGAACCUGUGUCCUCAUGGAUACUAGUCAGGUUUGUUAACUGCUGAGCCAUGACGAGAACUCCGGGAUAUUAAUUCUUAAUAGGCAUUUCAGUGUUAAAUUUGGCAGAAAUUGCUUACAAAGUUAGCCUUGGUUUUCCCCAUAAAGAAACCUAUAUGACUUGAAAUCUUUUAAAACCCUUUAACACUAGUCACUGUAAUGCUGAGCAGGGCACUGGAAUCAACUGCUUUUCUUUUCAUUCUUUGCACUUUUGUCAAUUGAAAAUGUGCAAAGUAGUCCAUUUGAAAUUCUUUUUUGGGCCACUUAAUUCAGCUUUGUUACAGUGGAAAUGGAAUACAAAUUGUAUCAAACAAACCCAAUGGGUGACUUGAAAUAUAGUGGGGCGAAUCAAUGGCUAAUCCUUAAAAUGGCUUUGUUUUCUUACUUCAUGAAUUCAGCCAGAGAAGGUCGUUUUUAGCUACAAUUCUAGACCUUCUUUUUCCUGUGCAGGGUUAGUUAGAGGGGAUGGGCAAAUAUUUUAGUUGUUAAAGAUGUGAAUCCAAGAAGUCACUUGAAUUCCAAAUAAAUAAAUUCAUAAAUUCACUUACGGUCUGGAAUAAAUGGAAGUAAUUAUGACUGCAUUAGUGCAGCAUUAAUUAACAUUGCUAAUUCUUUGUAUGCAAUUAUGUCAAAUAAUAACACUCAUAAAAUGUAAAUAUCAAAUGAGUAAGGGAGGCGCCUCCCUUCUCUUUUCCACGCCAUCAUAUUACGGCAUCAGAUUAUGAACAUGAAAUAUCAUCAAGCUUCCAGACACCUACUCUCUAAACACAGGCUGUGUGAAUCCUAAUGAAAACAUGAAUUCUGUGGUAUAAAUUUCCUCUGCCGCCUGAUUCAGUGAGGGGCUGCCCAGCAAGCCAAUAAUUCCAUUCCUCAGAGCAUUGCUGAGAAUAUUUAUAUAAUUAAAUAUCAUCUGUUUCCCCAUUUAAUUCCUGGUGGCUCCCCCACCCGACCCCCGGCUGUUUUUUUGCUAUUUCCUUGGGCAGGAAUGGCCACAGCUCUGAUGGAUUGUCUUCAUUAGCUACUUGGGGUGAUGAGUCCCCAAGUAAUGCUGAACUUGAUUUACCAUGUGCAAAAGCUGAACCUUUUGCAGAAGCUCUAAGUAGGGCAGGUUUUGUGCAGCUUUAAAUUGGUUUGUUUGAAGAAGAGAAAAAAAAAAAUAAAGCCGUCCUUUUAGGAAACAAUUUUGGAAUGUGCUUUGGUCUCCCGGGAGAGCUUGACAUGAUAUCAACAAACUGCUGAUAGUAAAAAUGCUUUUUGAUAAAGACCAGGUGAAUGAGGAGCACGAUGUUCUCCUGAGAAGAUGGGGGACUGAGCUUGGAAUCUGGGGGUCUUGCUAACAUAAGGUCCAGAUUUUUGCGUCUCGGGAAGUGUGGGCACUGGACAGGCAGCUCUCCAAGGCCCCUUCCAACAAGAAACAGGCUCCUGGGGAAGUCACCCAAUUUCUCUAAGCCUCAGGCUCUGCAUCUUGAAAAUGGGGACACACCACUCGUUAGGAGUUACUCACUGGUAACUCCAGUGAGGAUUAUGCAGAGAGUGUGCUGAGAGCAGCUAUACGGAGCUCCACCUCCAGACAGAGAAGUGGUCUGCCACGGAACCGUGCCUGAAUUCUAUAGCUCUGAGCCACAGCGCUUAUUCAUUUCACAUUUUUGGAAAGGGUGCUGGCAGAAUUGAGGCUUUGUGGGUGUGGUGUGAUCUUGAGUGCAUCCUUCUAUCAUUACGGUAUUUAACACCCAGCAGUGUCCAUGUUGCUUCUUCUUUAAUUCAUAGGUUUUUGCUUUCUGUGCAGGCCCAGGUUCUGCUGUGAUGUGCCUGCUGCUGGAUCAGGGGAGUGCUGGAUGGAGGGACUGGCAGCUGCCAAUGGCCAGCUCUCACAGAAGCGGGCAGAGGGCUUUACUGCAGGCCUUGUCCACCUGUGGCGAAGGGGCGAUUGGAAGGGGCAGUCUGUCAGGAGGAUGGUUGGCCUUACGUACCAAGUUCAAGAUAAAACAGACUAAAAAAACAUUCCUUUUAUACCUCCCAGACCUGGACCCGGCAGCCUUCAUCUCUCUGGUGGGUUCAGAAUACAAGGUAUAGCCUAGCAUGUGAGUAAUCGAUUCCUAUCCCUUCCGUUGCUCCAGGAAGAGCUGCUUCUUGGUGCUGUUGGCAUCUCAUUGGCUGCAGGAUGUUCCUGUUACUUCGUUGUUGUACCCUGCCCUUCUUUCCAUGGAGACCUUGGAGAAGGGGUGGGAGACGGAAGGCAGUGACCUGGAGGUGGGAUUUAGGGGGCUGGGGCACAGGGGCUUCUGAAGAAACAUAAAGAAGGCAUACAGAAUUCAGCAACCCCUCAGUCAGGGGCCACUUAUAAAUGACAGUAGCACAAGGGGAAAGAGAGAUCUCCAGAGAGCCUGGCUGGGAGCCUGUGUGCGAGUAUGUGUAUACAGAUGCACCCAUAAAGUAAAUGCAGUAAUAGCAGCAAGAGUGGCUCAUAGUUAUUGACAGAGUAUCCUGUUUCAGACACUGUGCUAAGCACUUUUAUAUACAAUCCAUGUAUCUCACAGCUCUCUAUAGGUAGGUACUAACAUCAUUCCUGUUUAUAGAUGGGGAAGGGAGGCUCAGAGAGGUGGAGUGGAUUUCCCAAGGUCACACAGGUUGGGAACCAGGAUUCAAGGGCAGGCACCCUGACUGGAGCUCUCACUCUCCUCCCACGGCCGAGGUGUGUGUAAUGAGAAUGCUCAGAGUGUCAUGGUGCCUUAGAACCGGGAGACUGGUGUGCUAAGACCUGAGGGUAGAUCUUCAGUUGUUAUUGAACCUCUCCAACCCAGUCUCAAUUUUCUCUUAGGUGUAACAAUGCCCACUUUACAAGGCUACUGGGAGAAGGAAGUGAGGCCAGCUGUAGGAAACUGCUUGGUAUCCUUUUAAGAACUGCAAAUGCUUGUUCCAAUGAAAAUGUCAUGAGCCUGAUGAUCCUUAAAUCUUCUGCCCCUUGGUUCUUCUGCCCCUUACCUUGGGGGGUGAGGUGUUAAUGCCUUAUGGAGUUGGAGAGACAAAUUCCCGUUUCAGCACCACACUAGAAAUCAGAUAAAGCCAGUAAAUAUCUGGAAGUUGGAAGAUUAAGUGUGAAAUCAGCAUGGCAGUGUGUAGAAACAGAAUUCUGUCCCAUCCUAGUACACGCUGAGGUCGAAGGACCCAGAGCAAAACUCAGGAUGGGUAAUAUGGGAGUGGAGGCAUUGUCAAGAGGGAAGGUGGGCUGGGCAGGAACUCUGUGGGGGCACGAGCCCAAUUGAGAUAAACACUGGAUGCCCGUGUGGCGACAGAUAGCCCGUGGGGACUGGAGGUAGGUGGGGACUGCCAUGACCUGGCACCCCUGGCCGGUCUGCCUUCGGUGGGAGUUGUCAGCUUCUUGUUUAAAUCUGAACCCUCAAGAUAUUUUACAGAACUAACCUUUCUGCUUCCUUGUGUUCUGAACCCACAAGGAGACUCAGAGGGCUAGAUCCUCUCAAGAAGGGAAAUAGAAAAGGAAAUUGUUCUCUGUCUGUCUUAUACUUGAUUCUUUAGGUCCUUAAGUGUUUUCCCCACAUGAAUAUUCUUUUCUUAAGAAAUCAUGCUUUUCUUCUUAGAACCACAUACUUAGCACAGCUAAACUUAGACCACAGGGUAGUACUUUUAACUGGACAUAAAGUGCAAAUAAGUCAAAGGGCUAGAAGAUAACUUUCUCAUGCAUCCUGAAUUAUGAUCACUCACAGUUUACUGUAAUCCUAGUCCUAGCGUUCGUGACCUUGUUUCUUGAUUAGAAUGUUCCUAAUAAACACUUCCUGGUGGAAAACCCCCUUUGGGGCUUCAGUGCAUGUGGCACCUGAUGCCGAAUCUUGGCUACGGGUCCAUGUUCCUCGUCUCACUGCUGUUCAGGGCCAUCGAAGGGAUGGCCCUGGUUGGCUUCUGGCUUCAUAGAAGUUUUAUGUUCUCCUGAGUCUGACCCUGCCCCUCUUCUUUAGGACUCACCAACCCAAGGCCAAAGAAGAGGUAAAAUAUUUAGUAAGCAAUCCCAUGGCACAGAGAAUGGAAAAACUCUUAGGACUGCAUACUUGUACCCAGAUUGUAAUAGAAUGUUGUUUCUAAAGUUAAUUAGGUAAUAUAUUUGAAAACAGAAUGUGAUACCGGAACCCAGAAUUACUUUAAAAAAUAUGUUUCCCUUACCUUAGAACAGUGACUUUCAACCCUGGCUACACAUAAAAAUCACACAAGGAACUUUUAAAAAAUGCCAAUGCCUGGGCUCCCUCCUCGACCAAUUAAAUCAGGAUCUCAGGGGAAUGUAGCUGAUCUUGUUUUUGCGUUUAAACUUCUUGAGUUACUGGCUUCUAAUUAGACUCAAUAUCAUUAGAAUGUAAUAGAUUUUGUUUUGCAUUAAACUUAGAUCCAACAGGUCUCUUUCUAAUAAUAAUAUACCCACUACAUACCCACUUUCUCUGGCUUAAGCACUUAUUUAUUUUUGGCUGUGCCCACAGCAUGUGGAAGUUCCUGGGCUGGGGACUGAACCUGUGCCACAGCAGCAACCCUGAGCCGCUGCAGUGAUAAUGCUGGAUCCUUAACCCACUGGGUCGCAAGGGGACAACUCCUUAAGCACUUAGUUUUGUUUGUAAACUGGAUUUGCAAUUAAAAACCCAAUCUCACACCAGAGCAGAACCUUUGAACUAAUUUCAAACAAGAUUUUCGGCCAGGGAUUUAAACUGUUCACUGGCAAAGCCAGCCUGAAGACAGGCAAGGGGUGAGACCUGGGUGGAGGUUGGGAGCAGCACCAAGUAUACAACGUGGAUUAUUUGCCAGGAGAUGAGGGGCAGUUUGUGUUCAGGUGGCUUCAGUUUCCUGAUGACCCUUUCAAAGCUCUUUCGGUGUUUGCAGGCUGAGUCCACUUUCUAACCCUCAUUCAGGACGCACAGUCUGGUAAGUGUGACAGUCCAUAUGAAAGCAUUGUCACAGGAACCUGAAACUUAGUGUCCUCAUCUAUAAAUUGGAGGCAUUGGGAUGAGGGGGAGUUUAAAUAUUUGCUAGCAUUUACUGAACAAAAAAAAAAUUGUAUUGAAGUAUAUAUAGUAUUUUUUUUAACAGUGUUAAAAAUGUAUUGGGUUAUCUAAUUCCCAAAACAACUCUGGGAAUAGGUACCAUCAUCAUCCCCCUUUUACAAAUGAAGCAACCAAUGCUCAGAGGAACUAGGUGACUUGGUGGAGAUUCCAGGGCUGGUCUGUGGGCACACAUAAAGCUCUGUGCUGCAUUGCCUAAGACAUGAGAAGGUGGCAUGGGAUAGACCCCCAGGAAGUGAGGGAACCUGGGACUGGCAGGAUCUGAGGAAGCAGAGGUGAUCCUGUCAACACUCAGAGGAGCCAAGGCAAGGAACUGGGGGGAGGGGGGCCUAAGGCGGGUAACUUGGUGGUGGUGGCUGUACGAUUUUUUAGACAUUUUGGAGGGUUUGGUUACUUAAGUUGCAAGGGAGAAUGAACUUGGGAUGUUAUUAAUUAAUGAAACUAUCUGUCAUAGGUGGAAUUGUACAGGAGAUGCAUUUUACCAUAAUGGCGUGUGCAUGCGGGAGUGUGUGCAUCUGUGUGUGUGGUUUGUGUGUGAAUGUGUGUUUGGAUGUUGGAGAGUUACCUGACAGGAGACCUGGCCUCAUUCUUCAGCUUGCAUCCUCUGAGCUGGGGGAUGUAUGUUUUAUCCUCUGGACUCCUUUAUUGUCCCUGGUCAGUCUCCUUCAGAGCUGGAUGCUCUUUUUGCCAUCUCAGCUGAGCCCUAGCUGAAGGAUAGGUUCAGCCCAUUUCCCGGAGUCUGUAAGCAGCCCUCAUGCACGCUCCUUGGCCUGUCUGGAUCUCAGACAUCUGCAUAACCCAGGGACUUAGUCUCAAAUCGAAGCCUGGAUGCAUGUGAGGGUCACCGGGGACUAGUGUCCGUGUUGCUCCCAGUCUCCCUCCCCCAAUUAAAUCAGACCCUCUGCAGGAGGGACUGGAUCAAUCUUGCAUGCUCUAAGGCUGAGCAGCCUUGGCUGUGUCCACCUGACCUAUGUGAAGAGGACCGGGUCAUCCAGAGAAGUCAGCCUCAUAAUCACUAGACUAGAGCGGCAGAGCCCAGUUCCUUAACUCUGGGUUAUCAUGCCUUUUCCAUUCUCCCCUUUCUGCUCCUUUCCUCUCCAUCCUUUCCAGCAUUGCCCUUGCCCUUAAGCCCCCCCUCCACACAAGAAUUAAAAUGUUUUGUCUGGAAAUAAGCAGACUUGACAAACACGGCUGGGCUCCCGCUGCAGCUGUGUUCAUCGUGUUUGGAGGCCAGCGACGUGAGCGUUAACAUGGAGAUUGGUGUCCAAAGGCACCCGAUAUCGCUAUGUCCAUUUCUAUUGUGCUGAACAUCACGUGGAAACCAACCAAAUAAUGAUCUUUGGAAUGAAAUAUUCAACAUGCAAUAUUAUUAACAUAUAAAAGGCUUAUGGGUAAAUCACUUUUAAGUAUGACAAGCCUUCAAAAUGUGUUUCAUUUGAGUACAGGGAGAAAGAUUUUGGGGAGGUUGUUUAUCAGCAGUGCCAUGAGGGAGGCUUAUUUCUUCCCUUUAAAUCUGGAUGAAUAUGCAUGUGUGCGCUGCAUGAUAAUAACAGUCAUGCAGCCAGGAGAUUAGCUGAGCUUGUGCUCUAGUGAUUCUCGCAUGCAAAUGCAGAGUACACAGCGCGGGCAGCACCCUUCACUUGUCUGUUCCCCAACCUUGGUGUUGUGUCCUAGGUGGGGGUCAGUGACAGCUGAGCAUGGAGCCUUGGCAAAGUCCAAAGCCUCCCUAGUUGGGACCUUGCAUGGCUACUGAUCCACUUUCUCUUAUUGUGAGAUACACAAACAAAGAGUACAUGAAAUUUGGUGAAUAAUUAUGGAUCCCCAUGGAACUACUCCAUCCCCCAAGGAAAAAACUAUUGCCAGUGCCUGAGAAGAGCCUCCAGUGUCCUCUGAGAUUGUUUAAGAAAGCUGGGCAUAAAGAACAGGCACACGGGUGGCCAGGAACAGAACUUGGCAAUGCCCCUUCUUGACCAGAAGAUAGCUCCUUUCUUUUCUGAUCUUUGGGAUGCAGUAGGAAGUCUGGAAUCCACCUGUAGUUUGGUUUAAUCUUAUCUUUGUGACUUGCUGGACCCUUAUGCUCCUCAGGCCUUGGUUUUCCUAUCUGCAAAAUGAGGAUAAUAAAAGUACCUACUUCAUAGACUCAUUGUGAAGAUCAGGUUUGUUAAUAUAUAUAAAAUGCUCAAAACAGUGUCAGGUACAUAUUUAUAGCUACUGCUCUUAGUACUUUUAUUAUUAUUAAUACUCAUGGUUCUUUAUAUUCAUGUGAUUUUAUGGGUGGGAUUCUCAGUUUGGCAAAUAAUACCAACAUACAUAGAUUUAUAUUCUGGUCCAUCCACAUCACUGGGGUGAUGUUAUUCCAGCCAGUGCAGGUGUCACUGAGUAGGUUUUAGGCAUACACAUUGCUUCUCUCUCCACCCCAAUGUAAGAACAUUGCAGCUUGGCACAAAAAUAACUUUUAAGAAAAUUAUUAAUAAUUAUUAAUUAUUUUAAGAAAAUUCCAGAGCAUGAAUGUGACUGUUGGAAAGUAGGGAGGAGAAAACCAGCAUUGACUAUCUAAACAGUGCCAUUCAAACCUAGAGAGAAAAAAAAAAAAA
rnacentral:lncRNA from 1 species